UUGGAAAGACGUUUCACCUUCAUUUACGACUUAGUGAGAAGAGAUAGUAAAACUAGAACAACUUACCCUGAAUGACAGCCAAACAAGUGCGGCGGCAUCAACAACAACUUGGGGACAAAUUUUCCAUGGCAGAGGACUCCUAACUGCUCCUUCUUUCUCCUCUGAAGUAACAAAGAACGGCUCAACGUGGAGGGAAAAUAAACAGUCCGUGAAAAAAAAACGAGUCACAAACAGUCAACUUGAGCUCAGUGGAAGCGUUUCUACUUGGAGUUUGUGAGCUUUGAACCCGCCGCUCGUCUGUCCCUGAUCUACCUGCCGCAGCUCCGGUAGCUGCACUUCACGCGCUGCUGCUCCGCUUAACUAUGCGCGCUGCUACAUGAACGCGCAACGAGUCUGACGCGACGAUAAAGGGAACGGCCUAUAAAGUAGGUUAGGUUACGUGUUUUUAGCUGGUAACUUUAGUUUUACCCUUAAAUAUCAACAUUCGCCCACAGUUACGGCAGAGUCCUGGGAGCUAUAUUCAUGACGGGCUAGCCGGCAGGUGCACUUUAGUACGAGCUCAAAAACAUAGUUCCGGUCAGCAGUUUGAUCACCAUUCCAAAUCAAGGCGCUCGGACCGUUCGCAUGCUGGAAACCAUAGCAACACAGUGGCUCCCUCUUUUCCAUUCUCCUAUAAACCGUUGACUGAUGAAGAACAAGCACCAGUUGCUGUUUCUCCCAUCUCAGUCACUGAAUCUUUGAACUCCUUCAGAGGACUCAUAGCUGUCUUGGUGGCCUCACUCACUAGUCUUUAGUCCAGACUUUUUUCAACUUUCUAGGUCUAUAGGUGAGUCAAUAAAAAGUGACUGGAUACUUAUGCAAUCACUUAUUUUACAUUUUAUAUUUCUAAUUCAUUGGCUUUGCUUGCGUUUGUAAUUUUUGUCAAAGAAGCCUAAUUAAAUUGCCAAAAAUCAAUAUUGAAAAGCAAUAAAAGGGGAAAAUUUCCACGAGGUGAAUAAAUUUUAUAGGUACUAUAUGUACUUUUAUGCACUAUUUUAUGAAUGUAUGUUUACGAGCCACCUGCUGCAGAUGCCCUGAUUUACCUUAUGUCUGCUUUUAUAUUUUGUUAAUGUGAGCUGAGUGCACAGACGACACUGAAUAUUCCUGCACUGACAUGUACAUGCUGCAACUGAUUCUCACUGAAGACGAACCACAAGACAGUGUAUUAAGGGAAAGGAGGAUGGAAAAAGACAAACAAAGGAUUUGUACAUCUCAGACUGUCUGAACCUUAAGAGUGGUUUUAAUCUGGAACAAAAAUAAUUUGACAUGAAAGGUUUUCACUUUUGUGAAUCACCAGGAUGUGGUGCUUCUUCCUGAAUAGUUUAUUGUCAGACAAAAGUGAAAACCUGAGCAGGUGGCACAAGGGGUUGCCAAUAUUUAAAUGAAGCAUCAGACAGAUUAAAAUCGGUAGCUUUUUACUGAACAUACCACUGCGCAUUUCCGCUACAUUCAGCGUGAUUCACAAAUAAAUCUGUGAAAAAAAAAAAACACAACACACUUUCAUUUCAAACACCAGUUAAAAGCAAACAGACUGAAAAAAAGAACAACAUGGUGAGACACAGCUGGAGAUACACAGAGCAGAGAACACAGAAGCACAAAUGUUCCCCUUUUCAAAGUUUCUACUCGAAGACGGUUUGAUCUGAGUGUGCCGAGAGGCCAUGAGCUGCUCUGUGAUCCGUCCGGCGAGAUCCCAGCAGAUGAUGAAGGAAGCAACAUCCGUUCUCUAAAUUUACAUUCUGACACUUUGGCUUUGUUCUGGGUUUUUAGUUUGUGCACUGGGGUGCCUAAAUACUGUAAAAUAAAGGGAAAUAACUAAUAAACAUGGAAUCAUUUUCUGUGAUUAAAAUACAUUUUCAAGC
ensembl:lncRNA